CAGCCGCCACGGGAAUACGAAGGGUGCAAGCGUUAAUCGGAAUUACUGGGCGUAAAGCGUGCGUAGGCGGUGAGCUAAGUCUGCUGUGAAAUCCCCGGGCUCAACCUGGGAAUGGCAGUGGAUACUGGCUCGCUAGAGUGUGUCAGAGGAUGGUGGAAUUCCCGGUGUAGCGGUGAAAUGCGUAGAGAUCGGGAGGAACACCAGUGGCGAAGGCGGCCAUCUGGGACAACACUGACGCUGAGGCACGAAAGCGUGGGGAGCAAACAGGAUUAGAUACCCCCGUAGUCCCUGUCUCUUAUAC
rnacentral:rRNA from 1 species